rnacentral:misc_RNA from 1 species
UCCGGUUCGCCACCGGCAGUCCCGACAGAGUCCCCGACGGCCCGAAGGCCUCGCUGGCAACAGUCGGCAAGGGUUGCGCUCGUUGCGGGACUUAACCCAACAUCUCACGACACGAGCUGACGACAGCCAUGCAGCACCUGUGCAAGUGUCCCGAAGGAAGGCUCGGCUUUCACCGAGCUUUCACCUGCAUGUCAAGCCCAGGUAAGGUUCUUCGCGUUGCGUCGAAUUAAAGAACAUGCUCCGCUGCUUGUGCGGGCCCCCGUCAAUUCUUUUGAGUUUUAGCCUUGCGGCCGUACUCCCCAGGCGGAACACUUAACGCGUUGGCUGCGGCACAGAGGGAUUCGACUCCCCCCACACCUGGUGUUCAUCGUUUACGGCUAGGACUAC